rnacentral:rRNA from 1 species
UACAGAGGGUGCAAGCGUUAAUCGGAAUUACUGGGCGUAAAGCGUGCGUAGACGGUUAUGUAAGUCGGGUGUGAAAGCCCCGGGCUCAACCUGGGAAUGCCAUUCGAAACUGCAUAGCUAGGGUGCGGAAGAGGGAAGCGGAAUUUCCGGUGUAGCGGUGAAAUGCGUAGAUAUCGGAAGGAACACCAGUGGCGAAAGCGGCUUCCUGGUCCAGCACCGACGUUCAGGUACGAAAGCAUGGGGAGCAAACAGG